UACGGAGGGUGCAAGCGUUAUCCGGAUUUACUGGGUUUAAAGGGUGCGUAGGUGGGUCUGUAAGUCAGUGGUGAAAUCUCCGAGCUUAACUCGGAAACUGCCAUUGAUACUAUAGAUCUUGAAUUAUCUGGAGGUGAGCGGAAUAUGUCAUGUAGCGGUGGAAUGCUUAGAUAUGACAUAGAACACCAAUUGCGAAGGCAGCUCACUACGGAUUGAUUGACACUGAGGCACGAAAGCGUGGGGAUCAAACAGG
rnacentral:rRNA from 1 species